UACGUAGGGGGGCAAGCGUUGUCCGGAAUCAUUGGGCGUAAAGAGCGUGUAGGCGGCCAGAUAAGUCCGCUGUGAAAUCUCGAGGCUCAACUUCGAGCUGUCGGUGGAAACUGUCUGGCUAGAGUCCGGAAGAGGAGAAUGGAAUUCCUGGUGUAGCGGUGAAAUGCGCAGAUAUCAGGAGGAACACCGGUGGCGAAGGCGGUUCUCUGGGCCUGUUCUGACGCUGAGGAGCGAAAGCGUGGGUAGCAAACAGG
rnacentral:rRNA from 1 species